rnacentral:rRNA from 1 species
GCUUGCUUGCUCAAGNUAAGCCAUGCAUGUCUAAGUAUAAACUGCUUUAUACUGUGAAACUGCGAAUGGCUCAUUAAAUCAGUUAUAGUUUAUUUGAUGGUACUUACUUACUCGGAUACCCGUAGUAAUUCUAGAGCUAAUACGUGCGUACAUCCCGACUUCUGGAAGGGACGUAUUUAUUAGAUAAAAGGCCGACCGGGCUUGCCCGACUCGCGGUGACUCAUGAUAACUUCACGAAUCGCAUGGCCUCGUGCCGGCGAUGUUUCAUUCAAAUUUCUGCCCUAUCAACUUUUGAUGGUAGGAUAGAGGCCUACCAUGGUGGUAACGGGUGACGGAGAAUUAGGGUUCGAUUCCGGAGAGGGAGCCUGAGAAACGGCUACCACAUCCAAGGAAGGCAGCAGGCGCGCAAAUUACCCAAUCCUGAUACAGGGAGGUAGUGACAAUAAAUAACAAUACCGGGCCUUUGGUCUGGUAAUUGGAAUGAGUACAACCUAAACACCUUAACGAGGAUCAAUUGGAGGGCAAANCUGGUAANA